rnacentral:rRNA from 1 species
GAUGAACGCUGGCGGCGUGCCUAAUACAUGCAAGUCGAGCGAACGGACGAGAAGCUUGCUUCUCUGAUGUUAGCGGCGGACGGGUGAGUAACACGUGGAUAACCUACCUAUAAGACUGGGAUAACUUCGGGAAACCGGAGCUAAUACCGGAUAAUAUUUUGAACCGCAUGGUUCAAAAGUGAAAGACGGUCUUGCUGUCACUUAUAGAUGGAUCCGCGCUGCAUUAGCUAGUUGGUAAGGUAACGGCUUACCAAGGCAACGAUGCAUAGCCGACCUGAGAGGGUGAUCGGCCACACUGGAACUGAGACACGGUCCAGACUCAGACGGGAGGCAGCAGUAGGGAAUCUUCCGAAAUGGGCGAAAGCCUGACGGAGCAACGCCGCGUGAGUGAUGAAGGUCUUCGGAUCGUAAAACUCUGUUAUUAGGGAAGAACAUAUGUGUAAGUAACUGUGCACAUCUUGACGGGACCUAAUCAGAAAGCCACGGCUAACUACGU